AUUGAACGCUGGCGGCAGGCCUAACGCAUGCAAGUCGAGCGGAUGAAGGGAGCUUGCUCCUGGAUUCAGCGGCGGACGGGUGAGUAAUGCCUAGGAAUCUGCCUGGUAGUGGGGGAUAACGUCCGGAAACGGGCGCUAAUACCGCAUACGUCCUGAGGGAGAAAGUGGGGGAUCUUCGGACCUCCCGCUAUCAGAUGAGCCUAGGUCGGAUUAGCUAGUUGGUGGGGUAAAGGCCUACCAAGGCGACGAUCCGUAACUGGUCUGAGAGGAUGAUCAGUCACACUGGAACUGAGACACGGUCCAGACUCCUACGGGAGGCAGCAGUGGGGAAUAUUGGACAAUGGGCGAAAGCCUGAUCCAGCCAUGCCGCGUGUGUGAAGAAGGUCUUCGGAUUGUAAAGCACUUUAAGUUGGGAGGAAGGGCAGUAAGUUAAUACCUUGCUGUUUUGACGUUACCAACAGAAUAAGCACCGGCUAACUUCGUG
rnacentral:rRNA from 1 species